CCUACGGGUGGCAGCAGUGGGGAAUAUUGCACAAUGGGGGAAACCCUGAUGCAGCGACGCCGCGUGUGUGAAGAAGUAUUUCGGUACGUAAAGCUCUAUCAGCCGGGAAGAAAAUGACGGUACCUGACUCCGAAGCCACGGCUAACUACGUGCCAGCAGCCGCGGUAAUACGUAGGGGGCAAGCGUUAUCCGGUUUUACUGGGUGUAAAGGGAGCGUAGACGGCAGCGCAAGUCUGGAGUGAAAUCCCGGGGCCCAACCCCGGAACUGCUCUGGAAACUGUGAAGCUGGAGUGCAGGAGAGGGAAGCGGAAUUCCUGGUGUAGCGGUGAAAUGCGUAGAGAUCAGGAGGAACACCGGCGGCGAAGGCGGCUUACUGGACUGUAACUGACGUUGAGGCUCGAAGGCGUGGGGAGCAAACAGGAUUAGAUACCCUGGUAGUC
rnacentral:rRNA from 1 species